GGCACUGUGUUACGUUCAGAACUACUGUAAGCAACAAUUAUGUACAAAAUGUAACCAGUUUCUAUGCAGUAAAUAAUUUAUGUUGCUCCAUUUCCUGUUGAGUGUUGGCAGUUGGCGUCAACAAAGCAAAUACAUGAAAAGAAAUGAAAAAAAAUGGUGGUUUUGCAACGAUAAAAAACUAUAGAAAAUUCAAUAUUUUUUUACAAUAAAAAUUGGAAGCGGG
rnacentral:lncRNA from 1 species